rnacentral:rRNA from 1 species
AUGAGGAGGAUACGAUUGUUGUGGGUGGCCCACCAAGGCAUGGCAGGGACGUUUUUCCUUUGGCCCAACGUGAGUGAAGACAUCUUCAAACAAGGCCUGCUAGUGACAGCCCAUCACGAUCCUCAGCCCAAGACCAAAGAUUUUUUUUCUUCCAUCCGCGCUCCAGCUCCUUUCCAUCCCUUUCUCCUCUCUCUUGAUCUAUCAAAAAAAAUGUUUCUCUUCUCUUCACGUGGCACCUGUGAGCCCACGAGUAUAUUUACUGUCCGGUCAGCGUAUCGCAUUCUGUCAAGUACUCAACAGAAACAGGAAGGAGUCCUAGAGCCACCGCAAGGGAUGUUUGAUCCCCUCGCCUCCAAAUGA